AUGUCUAGCUCGACUUCAGCCUCCCGCCAGUCAUGGCCAUGGUACGGUCCAGUGUCAUUGACAAGAUGCCCCGAUUUCCCGCGCAUGGAGCCUCUGAAGCGUUUGACUUGUGUGACGAAAGAAAAUGGCAACCAUGGGCACGAGUUCGUGAAAUGCUUGAGCAGGCCACAGCCGGGGCAGGUUCUGAAGAAAUGUGGGCAUUUCGAGUGGCUAGAUGAGUAUGUUGAGAGAUUGAAAUUGGAGGCAUCAACCCAAGAGCUCAAUUUGGGGGGAGGGGGGGCGCUUGCUGUGUAA
rnacentral:rRNA from 1 species